rnacentral:rRNA from 1 species
GAUCAUGGCUCAGGAUGAACGCUGGCUACAGGCUUAGCACAUGCAAGUCGAGGGGCAGCAUGGUCUUAGCUUGCUAAGGCCGAUGGCGACCGGCGCACGGGUGAGUAACACGUAUCCAACCUGCCGUCUACUCUUGGACAGCCUUCUGAAAGGAAGAUUAAUACAAGAUGGCAUCAUGAGUUCACAUGUUCACAUGAUUAAAGGUAUUCCGGUAGACGAUGGGG